AGCAGCCGCGGUAAUUCCAGCUCCAAUAGCGUAUAUUAAAGUUGUUGCAGUUAAAAAGCUCGUAGUUGAAUUUCGGGAUCAAUACGUCGGUCGUGCCUCGGUACGUACUAACGUCAUUGAUUUCUCCCUUCUGACGAGCCGUGAUGUCAUUAAUUUGGUGUUACGGGGAGUCAGGACUGUUACUUUGAAAAAUUAGAGUGUUUAAAGCAGGCAAUCGCUCGAAUACAUUAGCAUGGAAUAAUGAAAUAGGACGUUCGAACCUAUUUUGUUGGUUUCUAGGAUCGACGUAAUGAUUAAUAGGGAUAGUUGGGGGCAUUAGUAUUCAAUUGUCAGAGGUGAAAUUCUUGGAUUUAUUGAAGACUAACUACUGCGAAAAGCAUUUGCCAAGGAUGUUUUCAUUAAUCAAGAACGAAAGUUAGGGGAUCGAAGACGAUCAGAUACCGUCGUAGU
rnacentral:rRNA from 1 species